rnacentral:rRNA from 1 species
UGGGGAAUUUUGGACAAUGGGCGAAAGCCUGAUCCAGCAAUGCCGCGUGUGUGAAGAAGGCCUUCGGGUUGUAAAGCACUUUUGUCCGGAAAGAAAUCCUUGGCUCUAAUACAGUCGGGGGAUGACGGUACCGGAAGAAUAAGCACCGGCUAACUACGUGCCAGCAGCCGCGGUAAUACGUAGGGUACAAGCGUUAAUCGGAAUUACUGGGCGUAAAGCGUGCGCAGGCGGUUUGCUAAGACCGAUGUGAAAUCCCCGGGCUCAACCUGGGAACUGCAUUGGUGACUGGCAGGCUAGAGUAUGGCAGAGGGGGGUAGAAUUCCACGUGUAGCAGUGAAAUGCGUAGAGAUGUGGAGGAAUACCGAUGGCGAAGGCAGCCCCCUGGGCCAAUACUGACGCUCAUGCACGAAAGCGUGGGGAGCAAACAGGAUUAGAUACCCUGGUAGUCCACGCCCUAAAACGAUGUCAACUAGUUGUUGGGGAUUCAUUUCCUUAGUAACGUAGCUAACGCGUGAAGUUGACCGCCUGGGGAGUACGGUCGCAAGAUUAAAACUCAAAUGAAUUGACGGGGUCAUAGCUG